CCCCUUAAACUCACUCGCCUCGGGACGCGAACUCAUGAAGCUCCGGCAUGGGAGUCGGACUCUCUAACCAGAAGGCUAAAACCCAGGGCUCUGGCCCUGUGACCGGAGAAUCCUUUUUGAGCUCUUGGGAGUGAGGUUUACUAACUACAUCUGCACAGCGACACCUGCUGGCCUCCGUUACACGUG